AUUUAAAUCUGUUCAUCUUUUUCAACAGGUGCUAUUUGUAAAGAAGCAGUGCUCCGAAUAGAACAGAAUUUCAUCAUUCUCCCAAACACAAUUAAAAGUUAAAAAUGCUGUUCAUUCAGCAAAUGACGAAAAAUAAGUUUGAAGUUGCAGAGUCAGAGAAAGUGAUGCACUACUCAACAAAGUCCAAAAACAAGCAGAAGAGGGCAAUUCAUCACAAAAUCUCACAAUAGAUUUAUGUAUUGUCCAACAGAUCCUGGGACUGCAUUUGACGAAAACAAAGUCGGAAUUAGUGGAAAUUCCGAAAGAAAAAUAUAAGCUUUUCAAUCCAAGUGAAAACCGGGAUGUGCAAAAUCCUGACCUCGUCGAGGACAAUAGACGCGUUCCGUCACUGUCAGGGCAGACUGAUCAUGGACUUGAGACUUCGGUACAACCAUCAUCCAGUUCCGGUCCCCGUCAACGAAAGCUUACCCCGCCACCACUCCCACCACAUAUAUUUUCUGCGUUUCCAUCUACACAAUCGAAUAGGAAAGGAAAAAAUGGAGAUGGUGGGAAAACUGGGAAUAAUGCCCCAGUCAAAAAGGAGGCUGUAAAGGGUCCACAUGUGCCUAAAGAUUCCUGUAUCAACGUAAGAAUAGGAAGGUUGGUUUACAGAAAAUAUAUUCCGAGAUUGCGAAUUAUUGUAGAAGAAGACCCGAUUGAAAGCUAGUUAAAAGUCGUUUGUAAAUAUGUAUAUACUAAAAAUGUAAAUACUAAAACUGUAAUAUUUAAUUGUAUUUAUUUUUUAUAUGAAAAGAAAGAAUAAAGAUUUGAAGAUCAUUAUACGUAAGUA